AUCCUACGGGAGGCAGCAGUGAGGAAUAUUGGUCAAUGGGCGAGAGCCUGAACCAGCCAAGUCGCGUGAGGGAGUACUGCCCUAUGGGUUGUAAACCUCUUUUGUCGGGGAGCAAAAGCCGGACGUGUCCGUCUGUGAGAGUACCCGAAGAAAAAGCAUCGGCUAACUCCGUGCCAGCAGCCGCGGUAAUACGGAGGAUGCGAGCGUUAUCCGGAUUUAUUGGGUUUAAAGGGUGCGUAGGCGGACUGUUAAGUCAGCGGUAAAAGCCCGGGGCUCAACCCCGGCGAGCCGUUGAAACUGGCUGU
rnacentral:rRNA from 1 species